rnacentral:rRNA from 1 species
GAGUUUGAUCCUGGCUCAGAAUCAACGCCGGCGGCGUGCCUAACACAUGCAAGUCGAACGCGAAAGGGGAGCAAUCCCUAAGUAGAGUGGCAAACGGGUGAGUAACACGUGGGUGACCUGCCUUCGAGUGGGGGAUAACGUCCCGAAAGGGACGCUAAUACCGCAUAACAUCCUGUCCUUAGACGGACGGAGAUCAAAGCUAGGGAUCGCAAGACCUGGCGCUUAAAGAGGGGCCCGCGCCUGAUUAGCUAGUUGGUGAGGUAACGGCUCACCAAGGCAACGAUCAGUAUCCGGCCUGAGAGGGCGGACGGACACACUGGGACUGAGACACGGCCCAGACUCCUACGGGAGGCAGCAGUGGGGAAUUGUCCGCAAUGGGCGCAAGCCUGACGACGCAACGCCGCGUGGAGGAUGAAGAUCUUCGGGUCGUAAACUCCUGUCGAAUGGGAAGAAUGUUCCACGAAUGAAUAAGUCGUGGAAGUGACGGUACCAUUAAAGGAAGCCCCGGCUAACUCCGUGCCAGCAGCCGCGGUAAUACGGGGGGGGCAAGCGUUGUUCGGAAUUACUGGGCGUAAAGGGCUCGUAGGUGGCCAACUAAGUCAGACGUGAAAUCCCCAGGCUUAACCUGGGAACUGCGUCUGAUACUGGAUGGCUUGAAUUCGGGAGAGGGAUGCAGAAUUCCAGGUGUAGCGGUGAAAUGCGUAGAUAUCUGGAGGAAUACCGGUGGCGAAGGCGGCAUCCUGGACCGAUAUUGACACUGAGGAGCGAAAGCUAGGGGAGCAAACGGGAUUAGAUACCCCGGUAGUCCUAGCCCUAAACGAUGAAUGCUUGGUGUGACGGGUAUCGAUCCCUGU